CCCAGACUCCUACGGGAGGCAGCAGUGGGGGAUAUUGCACAAUGGGGGAAACCCUGAUGCAGCGACGCCGCGUGUGGGAAGACGGUCCUCUGGAUUGUAAACCACUGUCCCCAGGGACGAAGAUGACGGUACCUGGGGAGGAAGCUCCGGCUAACUACGUGCCAGCAGCCGCGGUAAUACGUAGGGGGCAAGCGUUAUCCGGAUUUACUGGGUGUAAAGGGAGCGUAGACGGUUGUGCAAGUCUGAAGUGAAAGCCCGCGGCUCAACUGCGGAACGGCUUUGGAAACUGUGUAACUGGAGUGCUGGAGAGGUAAGCGGAAUUCCUGGUGUAGCGGUGAAAUGCGUAGAGAUCAGGAGGAACACCGGCGGCGAAGGCGGCUUACUGGACAGUAACUGACGUUGAGGCUCGAAAGCGUGGGGAGCAAACAGGAUUAGAUACCCCUGUA
rnacentral:rRNA from 1 species